UGGAUUUCAAAACAGAUUUGAAAUGAGCUCCAACAUCACCACUGUCUUUCUUCAAAUCAAGCGAGUGGAUUUCUCUGACUCUGGACUGUAUUUCUGUGGAUUUUACAUUUAUGCACACACAGUCAUUGCCAAUACAAUACAUUUAAAUGUUCAAGGUGAUCGUGAAUCUGGCAAUGAAGUGGAUUUUAAGAAUGAAAGUAAUGGUGAAUCUUGCAGUGAAGUGGAUUUUAAAACUGAAGAAACCCCUGAUGGAAUAACAAACCUGAUGACUGUGGUCCUGGGUGCUCUGAC